UACGUAGGGGGCAAGCGUUGUCCGGUACGUCUAUUGGGCGUAAAGAGCGUGUAGGCGGCCAGGUAGGUCGGUUGUGAAAACUGGAGGCUCAACCUUCAGAGGUCGACCGAAACCAUCUGGCUAGAGUCCGGGAGAGGAGAGUGGAAUUCCUGGUGUAGCGGUGAAAUGCGCAGAUAUCAGGAAGAACACCCGUGGCGAAAGCGGCUCUCUGGAACGGUACUGACGCUGAGACGCGAAAGCGUGGGGAGCGAACAGG
rnacentral:rRNA from 1 species